rnacentral:lncRNA from 1 species
AGAAUGUGUCCUCAGUACACGAAUGCCCCACUUGCACUAUCAUUUUCUAUGUUCAGUGGACCGUGAAAUUGGGGUAAAAUCUCUAAUUUGGCAUUAAAAUUAGAAAGAUCAUAUCAUAGGGAACAUGUGUACCAAGUUUGAAGUCGAUUGGACUUCAACUUCAUCAAAAACUACCUCGACCAAAAACUUUAACCUGAAACGGGACAGACG